UGUCCUGUGCCAAUGAAGCAUGGUCAGUAUCAGCCCCCAGACAGCUUUGGGGAGCACAGAGAAAAGGGUGCCUACACUUUCCUAACUCAUCAUCGGCACUUUUCCUUUGGAUUGUGCCUUUAAAAAAGAAAGGCCUUGGUAGGGGUGAAGAGGAUAGGGGAGAAUGGUAGAAAUCUCCGGGAAAUGAUUGUAUUUAUUAGCUGUCUUUCUGUGGCUGUCCCCAUGGUGACAAUUUGUGAUGGCAAAGAAUGUGAGAAGGGGAGGCUGAUGCCUGAUUGGGAUGCUUUGUAUUUGGCAAAGUGGCUCCUGAUUGGUCUGAGAGAGCCCCGAACUCGGCAGAGUCGAUAUUCAUUCAGCUUGCUCAAGUGCUCGCUCAACUGCCUCCACACACACCGGCUGCCUCCGUCGGGCCUGGCAGCGUGUAACCUGCCUAACGAGAUUAGCAGGAAGGGGCUCUUCUCCACCAGCACCUGCCGGAAAGCCCCAGCGCAUCGGGUUGGCCAAGGCUUGCCUGAGACGGAUUAUAAACGUUUAAUGGGAAAUUCUGAACAGCACGUCCAGUGAAAUGGCAUCAGACAGUGAGGUGAAAAUCAGGAAUAAUCCGUAUGAAGCUGGUGGCAUGUCAUGUGUGGUGAAUCAGACCUCUUUUAUGGAAGCACAUGGUUGAAGCCAUGACAAGCAGGGCUCUGGGCCAUUCACAGCUGCAAUUGUAACACCUUGGAGACCUCCUCCAUGUGGGAGCAUCUUCCCAGGUUGCCCUGCAGCCACAGCACUGAAAUGAAUUACACUAGUUGAAACUGUUUUUGUACUUUAAAGUAAUUCCAGAGAAGACAAGAUAUUCAGGUCACUUCCUUUUGCGUGCAAGAGACUGGAAGGAUGGUCUUUAAUGUAGAAACUACAUUUGCGAAUUGAUUUAAGCUCUUCUUGUGUGUAAAUACUAAGAGAUUUGAAAAAAAAAUAAAGGAAGAAAGGAGGUAAUUUUAUUUUGGUGA
rnacentral:lncRNA from 1 species